UGCAGAGGCGCCGGUGGUUUCAAGUUGCAGGGCCGGGAGAAAUUUCACGGCAACCAGGAGUAACAAUAUUUUUGGUUACUUGGGAAUACGAUGAUGUUCUGGUGACGUGGAACAUGCUGAGAUUUGGACUUCAAUCCUUGAUUGUGCACGCGGAUUUCCGAAACGAGUAGAAGACUAAUAACUUCUAC